AAAGAAAUCACUAUCCUACUCUACUCAGCACUUCUCAGGCUGCACCUGGAAAACUGUGUUCAGUUUUGGUCCCUGCUGUCCAGAAAAGAUGUGGA